GGGUUGUGAGGUUAAGCGACUAAGCGUACACGGUGGAUGCCCUGGCAGUCAGAGGCGAUGAAGGACGUGCUAAUCUGCGAAAAGCGUCGGUAAGGUGAUAUGAACCGUUAUAGCCGGCGAUGUCCGAAUGGGGAAACCCAGUGCAAUUCGUUGCACUAUCGUUAACUGAAUACAUAGGUUAACGAGGCGAACCGGGGGAACUGAAACAUCUAAGUACCCCGAGGAAAAGAAAUCAACCGAGAUUCCCCCAGUAGCGGCGAGCGAACGGGGAGCAGCCCAGAGUCUGAAUCAGCUUGUGUGUUAGUGGAACGGUCUGGAAAGUCCGACGGUACAGGGUGAUAGUCCCGUACACCAAAAUGCACAGGUUGUGAACUCGAAGAGUAGGGCGGGACACGUGGUAUCCUGUCUGAAUAUGGGGGGACCAUCCUCCAAGGCUAAAUACUCCUGACUGACCGAUAGUGAACCAGUACCGUGAGGGAAAGGCGAAAAGAACCCCGGCGAGGGGAGUGAAAAAGAACCUGAAACCGUGUACGUACGUACAAGCAGUGGGAGCACCUUCGGGUGUGACUGCGUACCUUUUGUAUAAUGGGUCAGCGACUUAUAUUCUGUAGCAAGGUUAACCGUAUAGGGGAGCCGCAGGGAAACCGAGUCUUAACUGGGCGUUAAGUUGCAGGGUAUAGACCCGAAACCCGGUGAUCUAGCCAUGGGCAGGUUGAAGGUUGGGUAACACUAACUGGAGGACCGAACCGACUAAUGUUGAAAAAUUAGCGGAUGACUUGUGGCUGGGGGUGAAAGGCCAAUCAAACCGGGAGAUAGCUGGUUCUCCCCGAAAGCUAUUUAGGUAGCGCCUCGUGAACUCAUCUUCGGGGGUAGAGCACUGUUUCGGCUAGGGGGUCAUCCCGACUUACCAACCCGAUGCAAACUACGAAUACCGAAGAAUGUUAUCACGGGAGACACACGGCGGGUGCUAACGUCCGUCGUGAAGAGGGAAACAACCCAGACCGCCAGCUAAGGUCCCAAAGUCAUGGUUAAGUGGGAAACGAUGUGGGAAGGCACAGACAGCCAGGAUGUUGGCUUAGAAGCAGCCAUCAUUUAAAGAAAGCGUAAUAGCUCACUGGUCGAGUCGGCCUGCGCGGAAGAUGUAACGGGGCUAAACCAUGCACCGAAGCUGCGGCAGCGACACUAUGUGUUGUUGGGUAGGGGAGCGUUCUGUAAGCCUGCGAAGGUGACCUGUGAGGGUUGCUGGAGGUAUCAGAAGUGCGAAUGCUGACAUAAGUAACGAUAAAGCGGGUGAAAAGCCCGCUCGCCGGAAGACCAAGGGUUCCUGUCCAACGUUAAUCGGGGCAGGGUGAGUCGACCCCUAAGGCGAGGCCGAAAGGCGUAGUCGAUGGGAAACAGGUUAAUAUUCCUGUACUUGGUGUUACUGCGAAGGGGGGACGGAGAAGGCUAUGUUAGCCGGGCGACGGUUGUCCCGGUUUAAGCAUGUAGGCUGGUUAUCCAGGCAAAUCCGGAUAAUCAAGGCUGAGGUGUGAUGACGAGGCACUACGGUGCUGAAGUAACAAAUGCCCUGCUUCCAGGAAAAGCCUCUAAGCAUCAGGUAACAUUAAAUCGUACCCCAAACCGACACAGGUGGUCAGGUAGAGAAUACCAAGGCGCUUGAGAGAACUCGGGUGAAGGAACUAGGCAAAAUGGUGCCGUAACUUCGGGAGAAGGCACGCUGGUGUGUAGGUGAAGCCCCUGCGGGUGGAGCUGAGACCAGUCGAAGAUACCAGCUGGCUGCAACUGUUUAUUAAAAACACAGCACUGUGCAAACACGAAAGUGGACGUAUACGGUGUGACGCCUGCCCGGUGCCGGAAGGUUAAUUGAUGGGGUUAUCCGUAAGGAGAAGCUCUUGAUCGAAGCCCCGGUAAACGGCGGCCGUAACUAUAACGGUCCUAAGGUAGCGAAAUUCCUUGUCGGGUAAGUUCCGACCUGCACGAAUGGCGUAAUGAUGGCCAGGCUGUCUCCACCCGAGACUCAGUGAAAUUGAACUCGCUGUGAAGAUGCAGUGUACCCGCGGCAAGACGGAAAGACCCCGUGAACCUUUACUAUAGCUUGACACUGAACAUUGAGCCUUGAUGUGUAGGAUAGGUGGGAGGCUUUGAAGCGUGGACGCCAGUCUGCGUGGAGCCAACCUUGAAAUACCACCCUUUAAUGUUUGAUGUUCUAACGUUGGCCCCUGACCGGGGUUGCGGACAGUGUCUGGUGGGUAGUUUGACUGGGGCGGUCUCCUCCCAAAGCGUAACGGAGGAGCACGAAGGUUAGCUAAUCCUGGUCGGACAUCAGGAGGUUAGUGCAAUGGCAUAAGCUAGCUUGACUGCGAGCGUGACGGCGCGAGCAGGUGCGAAAGCAGGUCAUAGUGAUCCGGUGGUUCUGAAUGGAAGGGCCAUCGCUCAACGGAUAAAAGGUACUCCGGGGAUAACAGGCUGAUACCGCCCAAGAGUUCAUAUCGACGGCGGUGUUUGGCACCUCGAUGUCGGCUCAUCACAUCCUGGGGCUGAAGUAGGUCCCAAGGGUAUGGCUGUUCGCCAUUUAAAGUGGUACGCGAGCUGGGUUUAGAACGUCGUGAGACAGUUCGGUCCCUAUCUGCCGUGGGCGCUGGAGAAUUGAGGGGGGCUGCUCCUAGUACGAGAGGACCGGAGUGGACGCAUCACUGGUGUUCGGGUUGUCAUGCCAAUGGCACUGCCCGGUAGCUAAAUGCGGAAGAGAUAAGUGCUGAAAGCAUCUAAGCACGAAACUUGCCCCGAGAUGAGUUCUCCCUGAGACUUUAAGUCUCCUGAAGGAACGUUAAAGACGAUGACGUUGAUAGGCCGGGUGUGUAAGCGCAGCGAUGCGUUGAGCUAACCGGUACUAAUGAACCGUGAGGCUUAACCUUACAACGCCGAAG
rnacentral:rRNA from 1 species